rnacentral:tRNA from 1 species
GCAUCGGUGGUUCAGUGGUAGAAUGCUCGCCUGCCACGUGGGCAGCCCGGGUUCAAUUCCCGGCCGAUGCA